UACGGAGGGGGUUAGCGUUGUUCGGAAUUACUGGGCGUAAAGCGCGCGUAGGCGGACCAGAAAGUUGGGGGUGAAAUCCCGGGGCUCAACCCCGGAACGGCCUCCAAAACUCCUGGUCUUGAGUUCGAGAGGGGUGAGUGGAAUUCCGAGUGUAGAGGUGAAAUUCGUAGAUAUUCGGAGGAACGCCAGUGGCGAAGGCGGCUCACUGGCUCGAUACUGACGCUGAGGUGCGAAAGCGUGGGGAGCAAACAGG
rnacentral:rRNA from 1 species